UAAUUUUUAUUAAUUUAAAUUUAUUUAUAGAAAGGAAUUUAAAUAAAAAUCAAAACACAGCACAAUAAACAAGUUGUUUUGCAAUAUUCGCAAUAUGUAUAUUGAAGGUUGCACAACCCAUUCGAUACUAAAUAAUCGCUGAAGAAUUCCACUGUCCCUCAUCAUGAGAAGACUAUAAAGAAUGAAAAUAUUUGAGUGUGAAUAAUUAUGAAUAAAAUUUUGUUAUAAACAUG